rnacentral:rRNA from 1 species
UACGUAGGGACCGAGCGUUUGUCCGGAUUCAUUGGGCGUAAAGAGCUCGUAGGCGGCCACUCAAGUCGAAUGUGAAACCUCGAGGCUUAACCUCGAGCCUGCAUUCGAUACUGGGCGGCUAGAGUCUGGUAGGGGGAUCUGGAAUUCCUGGUGUAGCGGUGGAAUGCGCAGAUAUCAGGAGGAACACCGGUGGCGAAGGCGGGAUCCUGGGCCAGUACUGACGCUGAGGAGCGAAAAGCCAGGGGGAGCAAACGGG